GGGAAUAUUAGUAAUGGGCGAAAGCCUGAACUAGCAACGCCGCGUGUGCGAAGAAGGCCUUCGGGUUGUAAAGCACUUUUAGAGAGGAUGAGGAAGGACGGUACUCUCAGAAUAGGUCUCGGCUAACUACGUGCCAGCAGCCGCGGUAACACGUAGGAGGCGAACGUUAUCCGGAUUUACUGGGCGUAAAGCGCGUGUAGGUGGUUUGGUAAGUAGGGCGUGAAAGCUCCCGGCUCAACUGGGAGAGGCCGUUCUAAACUGCCAAGCUAGAGGAUGGUAGAGGGAGGUGGAAUUCCGGGUGUAGCGGUGGAAUGCGCAGAUAUCCGGAGGAACACCAGUGGCGAAGGCGGCCUCCUGGGCCACUCCUGACACUCAGACGCGAAAGCCAGGGUAGCAAACGG
rnacentral:rRNA from 1 species